UACGUAGGGUGCAAGCGUUGUCCGGAAUUAUUGGGCGUAAAGAGCUCGUAGGUGGCCUGUCGCGUCGGCUGUGAAAACUCGGGGCUCAACUCCGAGCUUGCAGUCGAUACGGGCAGGCUAGAGUUCGGCAGGGGAGACUGGAAUUCCUGGUGUAGCGGUGAAAUGCGCAGAUAUCAGGAGGAACACCGGUGGCGAAGGCGGGUCUCUGGGCCGUAACUGACGCUGAGGCGCGAAAGCGUGGGGAGCAAACAGG
rnacentral:rRNA from 1 species